UUGGAGGGCAAGUCUGGUGCCAGCAGCCGCGGUAAUUCCAGCUCCAAUAGCGUAUAUUAAAGUUGUUGCAGUUAAAAAGCUCGUAGUUGAACCUCGGGGUCUACCCAUUGGUCAGGCUUAAUUGUCUGCACUGGUGAGAUGGAUCUCUACCUUCUGAGGAACUUUCAUGCCAUUCAUUUGGUGUGAUGGGAAAUCAGGACUGUUACUUUGAGAAAAUUAGAGUGUUUAAAGCAGACUGUCGUCUGAAUACAUUAGCAUGGAAUAAUGAAAUAGGACGGACUGAUUCUAUUUCGUUGGUUUCUAGGAUCACCGUAAUGAUUAAUAGGGAUAGUUGGGGGCAUUAGUAUUCAAUUGUCAGAGGUGAAAUUCUUGGAUUUAUUGAAGACUAACUACUGCGAAAGCAUUUGCCAAGGAUGUUUUCAUUAAUCAAGAACGAAAGUUAGGGGAUCGAAGACGAUCAGAUACCGUCGUAGUCUUAACCAUAAACUAUGCCGACUAGGGAUCGGACGAAGUUAAUUUUAUAAUGACGCGUUCGGCGCCUUACGGGAAAC
rnacentral:rRNA from 1 species